AUGAAGACAUGAAAGAGGAUGUUUUCCGUGAGGUGAAGAAAAUUCGAGGACUUCCUUGGAAUUGACAGAAGUGAUGAGUUCGUGAAAGAAGUGUGUGAUCACUGCAGUUUCACCUCAAUGAAGGACAUCAAAGCGAACUUAGCUGAGAUCAUGUACAGAAAAGGUGAGAUUGGUGACUGGAAGAACUGGUUCACUGUCGCUCCAAAAUGAAUGGUUUGAAAAAUUGU